AUGACUGUGAUCUGCGUCCUCAUCUGGACUCUCCUCUGCUGCUGCUUCACAGAGUCCAGAGGACAGGUCACAGUGACUCAGCCUGGAGCAGUGAGCUCUGCUGUGGGAGGAUCUGUCUCCAUCUCAUGUAGAACCAGUCAGGAUGUUAAUGGCAACAAUUUAGCCUGGUACCAACAGAAAGAUGGACAAUCUCCUAAACUACUUUUCUACUAUGUUGGAAACAGAGUAUCAGGGACUCCAACUCGUUUUACAGAUGGUGGAUCAAACUCUGAUUUCACUCUGACCAUCAAUGGAAUUCAGGCUGAAGAUGCAGCAGUUUAUUACUGUCAGAGUCUUCACUACAUCAACAGUCAGUAUGUGUUCACACAGUGAAAAACAGUCGUACAA